rnacentral:rRNA from 1 species
AUUGAACGCUGGCGGCAUGCCUUACACAUGCAAGUCGAACGGCAGCAUGAUCUAGCUUGCUAGAUUGAUGGCGAGUGGCGAACGGGUGAGUAAUACAUCGGAACGUGCCCUGUAGUGGGGGAUAACUAGUCGAAAGAUUAGCUAAUACCGCAUACGACCUGAGGGUGAAAGUGGGGGACCGCAAGGCCUCAUGCUAUAGGAGCGGCCGAUGUCUGAUUAGCUAGUUGGUGAGGUAAAGGCUCACCAAGGCGACGAGCAGUAGCUGGUCUGAGAGGACGAUCAGCCACACUGGGACAGAGACACGGCCCAGACUCCUACGGGAGGCAGCAGUGGGAAUUUUGGACAAUGGGGGCAACCCUGAUCCAGCAAUGCCGCGUGUGUGAAGAAGGCCUUCGGGUUGUAAAGCACUUUUGUCCGGAGAGAAAUCGCACUUACUAAUAUUAGGUGUGGAUGACGGUACCGGAAGAAUAAGGACCGGCUAACUACGUGCCAGCAGCCGCAGUAACAC